AAAACACAAGAUUAGAAUUUUUUGUAUUUUUUUUCAUCGCGACCUGUCAAAAUUUUGUAGUUUUGAGAAUCAAUAUUUUGAAUUUGAAUGCACACCCGAACAAAGCAGCCACAAGAGCAGCAUUUUUCGUCAGCAGCAGAAGCAGCAGCCAUCUAUCUACUUGAUAAGUUUUCAUCAACAACAACCAGAUGCUACAAAUCAGCUCAACUUGACUCAACAUCCUGGAUCUGGCAAUCAGCCAACCAACAUUAAAUCGAUACAACCGUAGCAGUACCAACAACUCCAAAUCCAGCAGCUGCCAACAAUCUCUCAAAAAAGAACCACAGCAAUUACAGCUCAGAACCAACAAAGCAACAAGAGCUUUUUUUACGAAUAAUGGACCCAACGGACACACUUUAUCGGCACAUUCUGUCGUAAAACUUGCCUGCCACUAUUCUUACCAGCGGUUACCUUCCUGAUGUAGAGAAAUCAGAGUCAAACACAAACGUCAUAUUACUGCCUUGGCUCCUACCAGUUGCUUGCAUGAAAAGAUCGCUGCCUCCACAGUGCUCGUAAUUCCAUCCCAGCAGCAGCUAGCAACCACAAUUCCAGUGCUUAUCGCCAGCAACAUCAGAAAAUUAAGAUUUUCCCUAGACCAUGACCAUCAUCCGACAGAUCGGUAGCAACAACGUUCAACUGACGGUAGAACCUGGCCAGCAACCGCAACUAGUGCAAUCGAUCCAAGCCAAUGAGGGCCAAAUGUAGAAGACCAUUGGUCAACCGCAAAAAAAAGAUACAUCAACAGCACCUUCAAACACAGUAGCAGCAGCAUACUGUACUGUACCACGCCGCGCGCAGGAGGACUUUUUUAUUCAGUUGGUGCAGCAAGAUCGAACAGCAACCAUAGCGGAUACACAUCACCGAACACCAGCAACAUAAUGCCAUGGUAACCACCCAGCAGCAGAACACGGCGAUAAUGGGCCAACAGUAAAUACAACAUCAAGAUCCUCGGAAAGGACUUUCUCUUUCGAACAAACAUAAUGGAAGCAUACUCUACACGCACGACAUAUUCAAUCGGGCCAACCGUGUGACUCGUUUGGAAAAAAGCGCUCAUCAUCGGUUUCAUGGCAGCGAAGUGAGCAGACAAAAGAAGGCGUUUUUUCCGCAAGGUCGCUCUGGGCAAAAGUUCAGCCAAUUGCAAGGAAUAAACCACCGGAGUGACAGUAUCCGUGCUGUUUAGGACCUUUUUCCAUAUAUUGUAGCUUUUGAAUUUUAAUACCCGGUCGAAACGAUGGCAAGUGCUGCCGAUAACUGGGUCAAAAAGGCGGAGGGAGGAUCAGGAAAUUUCUGCACUCGGUUUUGAAUUUUUCUUUUCAAUGCAAAUAGGUUAUGGAUCUGAGUAUCCCUAAGGAUAAGGAACCAGAGCCGGCGGCUGACAGCCCAAAGAAAGAGAAUGCGGAAAAACCUUCUAGUUCACCGCCAGUACAACCAGCGAUCAAAUUACUCCCGUAGAAACGGCUGCACCUGCAGUUUUGUUUUCGGUAGCUACAGAAAUUAAGACUUUAGCAGCUCCUGAAGAAAAAAAAACUGCUAGCGAAAAUGGAGAAACAGCUUCCUCCACGGAAGAUGCAGAGGCAUUCAACCCGGCGGAUGCAAGUUUGCUAAUUAAACUUAUUCGCAAAGGUCUAGUAGAAUCAAAGCUGGAUCUGGGGGUGAAGGAUCCUUCUUCGCCGCUAUACUUGGUUAAAACUUUCGAAGCUUUGCACAUGAAUUCGGAACUGCUUCAGGGAGUCUAUGCUAUGGGUUUCAACGCUCCUUCCAAGAUUCAGAAGACGGCUCAACCUACUCUGUUGGCCGAUCCGCCACAGAACAUAAUCGCCCAGAGUUGGUCGGGAACAAGAAAAACCACCGCCUUCGUGCUGGCAAUGCUCAAUCGAGUCGAUCCGUUGAAAAACUAUCCGCAGGUGAUUUGCCUUUCCCCACGUAUGAACUGGCAAUUCAGAAGGGGAAAGUAGCUGCAAAACGGCAAAGUUUUGUGCGGAAAUCGAACUUGGUUAAACCGUUCGCGGUGAGAAGAUCGUCAAAGGGGCGAAGCUGACUAAUCAUAUCAUCAUCGGAACAGCCGGGCGUUCGACCUUAAGAAGAUUGCAAUUUUUGUACCGGAUGAGGCGGGCGUUAUGAUCGCUGUUCUUUUUAGCCACGUACGAGCGGGAGGUGAUGGGAUUCGCCCAGUACAUCGUAACCAAUCCGAUCAUGAUUCUUCUAGUGCGGGAGCAAAAAUCACUCGAUAACACCAAACACUACUACGUCAAAUGCCGCAACCAGGACGAGAAAUAUCAAGCAAUUUCAAACAUGUACGGUGUGAUUACCGUCGGACAAGCGAUCAUUUUCUGUCAUAUGAUGUAUAGGACAGUUGCAAACUCCAAGUCAACUUAUUUUCGGCAUUGUUAAUCGAUCGAAACAGGCACGCAAAACGGCCGGUUGGACCAGGAUAAUCACUCAGUAGCGGUAUUGUCCGGUGAUCUAACGGCGGAGCAACGGUUGGCCGUUCUGGAUCGAUCCUGAGCCGGACUAGAGAAGGUAUUGAUUGCAACGAACGUUUUGUCUAGGGGUAUCGAUGUUGCACAGGUGACCAUUGUCAUCAACUUCGACCUGCCGAUGGAUUAGCAGGGACGAGCCGAUUGCGAAACACUUCCGGAAAAAGACCAGCUACUGGUGAUAGGCAUAGGAGCUUUUUGGGUCAUACUUGUUAUGAUUCUGAAUUUAUAAUUUUAUUAUUUUUUUUUUCUUCCUUGACCUGACAUAUGUAACCAACAGGGUAAUAAAUUUACAAUUAAAAUUACAAUUUAUCUCUACCCAGUUCUAUCCAAACAUUUGAAAAGGGCCUAACUGCAAAAUGUAACAAAUUGAAAUUUCAUGUUUUCCAUUAACAAAUAUCUACCCGAGCACGUACAUAACGCAACAUUUGAUCAUGAAGAAUUUUGAUAGCGAUUUUACAACAAUUAAUAAAAGGGCCUAAUUGAUUUUUAUGACCGAACUGAUUAUGAAAGGACCUAACUGAUUGAAAAGUGCCUAACUAGAAAUACACUCGUUUUAAAUGGAUUAUAACGUAUUAUUGUAUUAUGACUGAUUGUAAAAGGGUUAUAACAUCUUUUCCAUAAUUUACAUACAGGGUCAAUCUGACCAUCAAAUUAGAAUUCAGUUAAUUCACACAUGGGACAAUUAUGCUUCUUGUGGCAGUAAUGCAAGUAGUAGCAAUAUGCGCAAUUCCUUAAACCUCUCUAGUGUUUCAUGCAAUAAGAAUUACCACGAAUUACUUAUGGCAAUAAAUUUGAACUACGAUUCUCACAAUUGUUAUACCAAAAAUAGGUUUGUAUCCGUACUGAUUAUUGGUAGCAUUCCCUGAGACUUUCAGAACAUUUAGUAGUAGCCAUUGUUAUCAUAAUCGAUUUUUAACGUCAGCCAAAGUUUAAAGCCUAGGGUUUGGUUCGACCUGAAACCGAUUGAGUCGGAGUCGGUUGUUAUAUUUGCGUUAUAUUUCCGGAUUCCGAAGCGUGUUUCGAAAGGUAG